rnacentral:rRNA from 1 species
AUCUACUCAGAGUGCUUGGGUGGAGGUUUGUGUCUGGGGCCUUGCGCGUUCGUUUCGUGCGUGCGCGCUCGUGCUUUGGCGCUUCCUCUUUUGCUCACCUCUGUGCUCUUACUCGGAGGAGGUGACUUCUGUGUCACCUUGAGUAAAUCAUGGUGCUCACAGCAGUCGUGCGGGCCCUGUGCCCUGUGAACAGUCUAUGCGGACUGAAUUGGUUUUGCAAGGCAUGACGAAACAUGACGUCGCUGCUGGUCGCGAGUGUGAGGGCGCAGCUCUCGUGGUUGCGCCGAGCGGUUUGCCAGUAGUGACGUAAUGAUCAAUGGAGACGGUAGCUGGCAUUGGUAUUGCGCGGCGAGAGGUGAAAUUCUGCGACCCCCGCAAGACCUCCUAAAGCGAAGGCGUCUGCCAAGGACGUGUUCACCAAUCAUGAACGAAAGUCAGAGGAUCGAAGGCGAUCAGAUACCGCCCUAGUUCUGACCCUAAACGAUGCCAACCAUCAAUCCGCGUGAGCACCCUAUCUAACGGGCUCGGCGGGCAGCUCCCUUCUUCCGGGAAACCAGAGUUUUUGGGUUCCGGGGGGAGUCUGGUUGCAAAGCU